GUUACUGCGUCAGGAGUGCGGUGACGAAUGGGCGGUAUCCUGAAUUAUCCAAAAAAGAAACUGGAGCAACGUAAUUUCCUGGGAUGAAGAAAAUAUUGCCAUCAAAAAGUGCGGUCGAUAAUCAGCCUGCAUGACAUGAAAUGGUCAAAGUGACGGAUGGCCCUGGUCUUGAAUGCUAAUUGGAAGAAAGGCUGGAUGUGGAGACGAGUGAGGUGAGUCUGACCAGUCAGCAGACAGACUGGCUAAACAUCACCAUGGAUUUCCCAGUGGAGCGCAGUGAUGUCAUAUCAGCUCAGCUCAGUUCAUGUGUACUCUCUCCUGGCGACUUCUGUCCGUGUCCAAAGUUCUUCUCA